rnacentral:rRNA from 1 species
UACGAAGGGGGCUAGCGUUGUUCGGAUUUACUGGGCGUAAAGCGCACGUAGGCGGAUCGUUAAGUCGGGGGUGAAAUCCUGGAGCUCAACUCCAGAACUGCCUUCGAUACUGGCGAUCUUGAGUCCGGAAGAGGUGAGUGGAACUCCUAGUGUAGAGGUGGAAUUCGUAGAUAAUUCGGAAGAACACCAGUGGCGAAGGCGACUUACUGGACACAUAUUGACGCUGAGGUGCGAAAGCGUGGGGAGCAAACAGG